rnacentral:rRNA from 1 species
GAUGAACGCUGGCGGCGUGCUUAACACAUGCAAGUCGAACGGAAAGGCUCCUGCUUGCAGGGGUACUCGAGUGGCGAACGGGUGAGUAACACGUGGGUGAUCUGCCCUGCACUUCGGGAUAAGCCUGGGAAACUGGGUCUAAUACCGGAUAGGACGAUGGUUUGGAUGCCAUUGUGGAAAGUUUUUCGGUGUGGGAUGAGCUCGCGGCCUAUCAGCUUGUUGGUGGGGUAAUGGCCUACCAAGGCGUCGACGGGUAGCCGGCCUGAGAGGGUGUACGGCCACCUUGGGACGGAGAUACGGCCCAAACCCCUACGGGGGGGAGCGGGGGGGAAUAUUGCAAAAUGGGGGCAAGCCUGAUGCAGCGACCCCGCGGGGGGGAUGACGGCCUUCGGGUUGUAAACCCCUUUCGCUAGGGACGAAGCGCAAGGGACGGUACCUGGGAAAGAAGCACCGGCUAACUACGG